rnacentral:sRNA from 1 species
UCUGUUUUUUCUUCUUCUUAUUAU